GAUGAACGCUGGCGGCGUGCCUAAUACAUGCAAGUCGAGCGAACAGACGAGGAGCUUGCUCCUCUGACGGUAGCGGCGGACGGGUGAGUAACACGUGGAUAACCUACCUAUAAGACUGGGAUAACUUCGGGAAACCGGAGCUAAUACCGGAUAAUAUAUCGAACCGCAUGGUUCAAUAGUGAAAGACGGUUUUGCUGUCACUUAUAGAUGGAUCCGCGCCGCAUUAGCUAGUUGGUAAGGUAACGGCCUACCAAGGCAACGAUGCGUAGCCGACCUGAGAGGGUGAUCGGCCACACUGGAACUGAGACACGGUCCAGACUCCUACGGGAGGCAGCAGUAGGGAAUCUUCCGCAAUGGGCGAAAGCUUGACGGAGCAACGCCGCGUGAGUGAUGAAGGUCUUCGGAUCGUAAAACUCUGUUAUUAGGGAAGAACAAAUGUGUAAGUAACUAUGCACGUCUUGACGGUACCUAAUCAGAAAGCCACGGCUAACUACGUG
rnacentral:rRNA from 1 species